rnacentral:lncRNA from 1 species
AUCAAUUGAACUUUAAAUUAAAUCUAACAAUAUUAUGAUCAAGAUAAAUUAUUCAAGUGAUUAAGCUAAAACAUUUCUAUAUCAAAACUAAACAAGAAUCAAAAAACUGACUGAAGAAAUAAUCAAGAAAAUGAUAAACAAUGAACAAGAAAAUAAUCAAACCUAUACUGAUUUUAGAUCCGAGAAUAUCAAACAAAAUACGAAAAAAGAAUGAAACUUAAUCCAACUGACUGGGUUGAAACGACGACGAACUCGAACGGAAACAAAUCUAAGCUCAAGCGAAUCUCCAUCUCGCCACUAGUGAACGACAUAUGGAUAUGGAUUCAAACUAACUCAAAUGGAACCCCCGGACAGACUUCAAUAAGGAAUCGAUGAAAAAAGUGAUUGAAACUCAACGGGAAUACUCGAAACUUGCCAGAAAUGGGCUGUCCGUCUAUGGUUGUUUGGAUGUCUCACGACUGGAAAUGGUGGGGUGUCGUUUGGACGUGUUGAGGAGGAGGGUUUGGAGGACGUUCAAGGGGUCAUUCUAGGUUGCUUCGAACGUGAGAUGGGGAGAACAUGGCUAUGGUCGACGGGCCUGGUUUCUGGCUAGUCAUUUUUGGUUCGUCGACGAGCUGGACUGACUGACUGCUGGUUCGAGCAGCGUAAUUCGCUGGCUAGGCGACGAACUGCUGUGCAGUUGGUUGAGGGUCGUGACGGACUAGUUCGUUUGGAGGCAGCAGGAACGAAGGGCUGUUGGUUGACGAACGACGAAAACUGGUGGUGGACUGGUGACUGGUUUGAAGAGAGAGCAGGUUCACGACGAUGGAGGGCUGUUUGGUUGGUGAGGGAGAAGAGAACGAGGGGGCAGGGGUCUUUUGUUGGUGGCGGCUGAGGGGGGUCUCCUAGGGUUUGGGAGGGUGGUUUGGAGAAGAAGA